CUGAAAUGAUAACACUAUGGUCUAACUGGUCUACUACUGAAAUGAUAACACACUAUGGUCUAACUGGUCUACUACUGAAAUGAUAACACACUAUGGUCUAACUGGUCUACUACUGAAAUGAUAACACACUAUGGUCUAACUGGUCUACUACUGAAAUGAUAACACACUAUGGUCUACUACUGAAAUGAUAACACUAUGGUCUAACUGGUCUACUACUGAAAUGAUAACACACUAUGGUCUACUACUGAAAUGAUAACACACUAUGGUCUAACUGGUCUACUACUGAAAUGAUAACACACUAUGGUCUAACUGGUCUACUGCUGAAAUGAUAACACUAUGGUCUAACUGGUCUACUACUGAAAUGAUAACACUAUGGUCUAACUGGUCUACUACUGAAAUGAUAACACACUAUGGUCUACUACUGAAAUCCUAACACACUAUGGUCUAACUGGUCUACUACUGAAAUGAUAACACACUAUGGUCUAACUGGUCUACUACUGAAAUGAUAACACUAUGGUCUAACUGGUCUACUACUGAAAUGAUUACACUAUGGUCUAACUGGUCUACUACUGAAAUGAUAACACACUAUGGUCUAACCGGUAGACUAAUGAGAUAAGAUAACACACUAUGAUCUAACUGCUCUACAACUUCACAUGAGCACCACAAUGCCUACCAUGCUCUACCAAGGUUUUACAGCACCACAAUGCCUACUGCACCCCAUGCUCAACCAAGGUUUUACAGCACCACAAUGCCUACUCCACCCAUGCUCUACCAAGGUUUUACAGCACCACAAUGCCUACUCCACCCCAUGCUCUACCAAGGUUUUCCAUCCCACAGCUUUGACCUACUACAGUAGUUAUGUUGGUAUUGUACUUUAGAUUAUGUGUAUACAGGUUGUUUAGGAGUCAAACCUUCUCAAACAGCCUCAUUCAUGCUCAUAGAGGAGGUGCUUCCACAAUAAUGUGAUUUGUUCUGCAUACAAGGUAAUGUAUUGGAUUCUUCACACGCCACACUAAUCCCAUUCCAUUACCUUUUCAUGCUUUAAAAAACAGUAUAUAAAACAAGCUUUGGUUUUAUUCUUGCAAGACCAUCAUGAUUAAUUGAGCUGUUUUGUCUUGUUGUAAUGUGAUGCCUGCCUGUAUUUCCUCAAUAUCUUUAAUUUAGCAAUACAUGUCAUUGAGCAAAAUAAUCAUUCAUAACAAUGUUAUUUUUUUUUUGUCAGUAGGUGCCCAACAUACAGUAAGAAUAUGUGGUGGGUUGUUGAACACAGACACUCACAUAUAGAGGCCUAUAGAGCCUGUCUGCAUUCCUGAUUUCUGGAACCGUUAGCUUACCAGUAAUAUUGACAUAUUCAAUUUACUGUGCUGAUCAAUGGGCAAUUUAUUACCUCUGUCAAAUGAAAUAUGUAGCUUAAAGUUGUGUAUUUGUAUGUUAUCUUUGCAAUAAAGAUGGUGACGCU
rnacentral:lncRNA from 1 species